rnacentral:rRNA from 1 species
AUGGCGCUCCUCCGCCUCCAGCACCACUGCUCCCUCCUCCAAGUCUCCACCUCCCACCUCCCAACCCUCCUCAGACCCCCGCGGAACCCUCGCAGGAGCCAACUCUCGCCGCCCAAUGCGGCCAGGACCACCUCCUCCUCCGUAACUCCCUCCCCCGCCGCGCGAAUCUUGGCGCGGAAUGCGGCGGCGCCGCCCUGGCGGGGCGAGCUCCUGCUCCUCCUCCCCGCGGCCGCCGCGUCCUGGCCGCUCCACUCCCUCGCGGCCGAGGCCGACGGCGGCGGCGGGAGCAAGGUGAGCCUCGAGUCCAUCGUGCUGGCCGUGGACGACUUCAACAACCGGAACCCCUUCUUCGUGGCCGGGGUGGUGUUCGUCUGGCUGGUGGUGCUCCCGCUGGCGCAGGACUACUUCAAGAAGUACAAGGCCGUGGGCGCCCUCGACGCCUUCCGCAAGCUCCGCGACGCGCCGGAGGCGCAGCUGCUGGACGUCAGGCGGGGCAACAGCGUGCGGUUCAUGGCGCCGCCCAACCUCAGGCUCGUCGAGAAGAGCGCCGUGCAGGUGGAGUUCGACGAGGAGGACGAGAAGGGGUUCCUCGGGGAGGUGCUCGCCAGGUUCCCGGACCCGGCCAACACCGUCGUCUGCGUGCUUGACAACUUUGAUGGUAAUUCAAUGAAAGUGGCUGAGCUCCUGUUCAACAAUGGUUUCAAAGAGGCAUAUGCAAUCAAAGGGGGACUGAGAGGCCCAGAUGGUUGGCAGGCAAUUCAAGAAAACUAUCUUCCGCCAUCUGUUCAUGUUUUUCCAAGGGAAAAGAAGAGCAAAACUUUAACGCACACUGAUGCGAGCACUGAAGGAACAGAUGAUCAGCCAGAGGGGAAUGGAGAACUAUUAACUUCUCCUAGCAGCACUUUAGUCAAUACAAGCAAUGGAACCAAGGAUGGUCAUGAAGAACUGAAUGGAAAUACUUUAGCCGCGAAGCAUCCAAGGAGACCAUUAUCACCUUAUGCAAAGUACCCUGACUUGAAACCGCCAUCAUCUCCGACGCCAUCCAAGCCAGGGAGGGCAGAGGGGAAUGGGGAACUACCAACUUCUACUGGCAGCUCUUUAAUCAAAACAAGCGAUGCAACUAAGGAUAGUCUAGCCACGAAGCAAUCAGGAAGGAGACCAUUAUCACCAUAUGCAAAUUACCCUGACUUGAAACCGCCCUCAUCUCCAACGCCAUCCAAGCCAGGCAGGCCAGAUGAGAAUAAUGAACUACUAAUGUCUCCUGGCAGCUCUUUAGACGAUACAAGCCAUGCAACCAAGAAUGGUCGUGAAGAACUGAAUGGAAGUACUUUAGCCACGAAGCAUCCAAGGAGACCAUUAUCACCAUAUGCAAAUUACCCUGACAUGAAGCCGCCAUCAUCUCCGACGCCAUCCAAGCCAGGGAGGUAG